ACCUGGCUCAGGAUGAACGCUAGCGGCAGGCCUAAUACAUGCAAGUCGAACGGGAUCCAUUUGUAGCUUGCUACUGAUGGUGAGAGUGGCGCACGGGUGCGUAACGCGUGAGCAACCUGCCCAUAUCAGGGGUAUAGCCCGGAGAAAUCCGGAUUAACACCGCAUGAGAUUACAGUUCCGCAUGGGAGAGUAAUUAAAUAUUUAUAGGAUAUGGAUGGGCUCGCGUGACAUUAGCUAGUUGGUAGGGUAACGGCUUACCAAGGCUACGAUGUCUAGGGGCUCUGAGAGGAGAAUCCCCCACACUGGUACUGAGACACGGACCAGACUCCUACGGGAGGCAGCAGUAAGGAAUAUUGGUCAAUGGAGGGAACUCUGAACCAGCCAUGCCGCGUGCAGGAUGACUGCCCUAUGGGUUGUAAACUGCUUUUGUCAGGGAAUAAACCUUUCUACGUGUAGGAAGCUGAAUGUACCUGAAGAAUAAGGAUCGGCUAACUCCGUGCCAGCAGCCGCGGUAAUACGGAGGAUCCGAGCGUUAUCCGGAUUUAUUGGGUUUAAAGGGUGCGUAGGCGGCCCAUUAAGUCAGGGGUGAAAUACGGCAGCUCAACUGUCGCAGUGCCUUUGAUACUGAUGGGCUUGAAUGUGGUUGAAGAUGGCGGAAUGAGACAAGUAGCGGUGAAAUGCAUAGAUAUGUCUCAGAACUCCGAUUGCGAAGGCAGCUAUCUAAGCCAUUAUUGACGCUGAUGCACGAAAGCGUGGGGAUCAAACAGGAUUAGAUACCCUGGUAGUCCACGCCCUAAACGAUGAUAACUCGAUGUUAGCGAUACACAGUUAGCGUCUUAGCGAAAGCGUUAAGUAUCCACUGGAGUGUCGAC
rnacentral:rRNA from 1 species